UACAGAGGUCUCAAGCGUUGUUCGGAUUCAUUGGGCGUAAAGCGUGCGUAGGCGGUGUUCUAAGUCUGUUGUGAAAUCUCCCGGCUUAACCGGGAGGGUGCGGCGGAAACUGGAACGCUGGAGUGCGGGAGAGGUAAGCGGAAUUCCUGGUGUAGCGGUGAAAUGCGUAGAUAUCUGGAGGAACACCGGUGGCGAAGGCGGCAUCCUGGACCAAGACUGACACUGAAAAGCGAAAGCCAGGGGAGCAAACGGG
rnacentral:rRNA from 1 species